rnacentral:tRNA from 1 species
GCGGCUGUGGUGAAGUGGUUAACACAUCGGAUUGUGGUUCCGACAUUCGAGGGU